GACGAACGCUGGCGGCGUGGAUUAGGCAUGCAAGUCGAACGGUAUCAUCCUUUCGGGGGUGAGAGAGUGGCGAACUGGUGAGUAACACGUAGGUUAUCUACCCUCAAGACGGGGACAACCCAGGGAAACUUGGGCUAAUACCCGGAUGUGAGCAACUUUUAGUUGUUUGAAAGGUGGCGUAAGCUGUCGCUUGGGGAUGAGCCUGCGUCCUAUUAGUUAGUUGGUGAGGUAACGGCUCACCUAGGCAAUGAUAGGUAGGCGGCCUUAACGGGUGGUCGCCCACACUGGGAUUGAGAUACGACCCAGACUCCUACGGGAGGCAGCAGUCGAGAAUAGUCUACAAUGGUCGGAAGACUGAUAGUGCGACGCCGCGUGAACGAUGAAUCCCUUCGGGGUGUAAAGUUCUUUUAUAUGUGAGCAGUGCUUCUUAUAUUAACAGUAUGGGGAGAGAGAUAUUAGCAUAUGAAUAAGCAACGGCUAACUCCGUGCCAGCAGCCGCGGUAAACUCG
rnacentral:rRNA from 1 species